rnacentral:rRNA from 1 species
GGAUUCCCCUAGUAACUGCGAGUGAAGCGGGAAAAGCUCAAAUUUAAAAUCUGGUGGUCCUUGACCAUCCGAGUUGUAAUUUAGAGAAGCGUCUUCCGCGCUGGACCGUGUACAAGUCUCCUGGAAUGGAGCGUCGUAGAGGGUGAGAAUCCCGUCUUUGGCACGGAUGCCUGGUGCUUCUGUGAUGCGCUCUCGAAGAGUCGAGUUGUUUGGGAAUGCAGCUCAAAAUGGGUGGUGAACUCCAUCUAAAGCUAAAUAUUGGCGAGAGACCGAUAGCGAACAAGUACCGUGAGGGAAAGAUGAAAAGCACUUUGGAAAGAGAGUGAAACAGUACGUGAAAUUGUUGAAAGGGAAACGCUUCAAGUCAGUCGCGUCGACCGAGACUCAGCCUCGCCUUGGCUUGGUGUACUUCUCGGGCUUGACGGGUCAGCGUCGAUUUUGCCCCUCAGACAAUGGCAAGGGAAAGGUGGCACCUUUGCGGGUGUGUUAUAGUCUCCUGUCGCAUGUGAGGGGUGAGAUUGAGGAACUCAGCAUGCACCUUCUGGUGUCGGGGCUUUGGCCCACGCAACGUGCUUAGGAUGCUGGCAUAAUGGCUUUAAACGACCCGUCUUGAAACACGGACCAAGGAGUCCAACAUGCCCGCGAGUGUUCGGGUGGAAAACCCGUGCGCGUAAUGAAAGUGAAAGUUGGGACCUCUGUCGUGGAGGGCACCGACGCCCGGACCAGACCUUCUGUGACGGUUCUGCGGUAGAGCGUGUAUGUUGGGACCCGAAAGAUGGUGAACUAUGCCUGAAUAGGGUGAAGCCAGAGGAAACUCUGGUGGAGGCUCGUAGCGAUUCUGACGUGCAAAUCGAUCGUCAAAUUUGGGUAUAGGGGCGAAAGACUAAUCGA